rnacentral:rRNA from 1 species
UACGAAGGGUGCAAACGUUGCUCGGAAUCACUGGGCGUAAAGCGCACGUAGGCGGAUGUGUCAGUCAGGGGUGAAAUCCCGGGGCUCAACCUCGGAACUGCCUUUGAUACAGCACGUCUCGAGUCCGGAAGAGGUGGGUGGAAUUCCUAGUGUAGAGGUGAAAUUCGUAGAUAUUAGGAAGAACACCGGUGGCGAAGGCGGCCCACUGGUCCGGUACUGACGCUGAGGUGCGAAAGCGUGGGGAGCAAACAGG